rnacentral:rRNA from 1 species
GACGAACGCUGGCGGCGUGCCUAAUACAUGCAAGUUGAGCGCUGAAGGUUGGUACUUGUACCAACUGGAUGAGCAGCGAACGGGUGAGUAACGCGUGGGGAAUCUGCCUUUGAGCGGGGGACAACAUUUGGAAACGAAUGCUAAUACCGCAUAAAAACUUUAAACACAAGUUUUAAGUUUGAAAGAUGCAAUUGCAUCACUCAAAGAUGAUCCCGCGUUGUAUUAGCUAGUUGGUGAGGUAAAGGCUCACCAAGGCGAUGAUACAUAGCCGACCUGAGAGGGUGAUCGGCCACAUUGGGACUGAGACACGGCCCAAACUCCUACGGGAGGCAGCAGUAGGGAAUCUUCGGCAAUGGACGAAAGUCUGACCGAGCAACGCCGCGUGAGUGAAGAAGGUUUUCGGAUCGUAAAACUCUGUUGGUAGAGAAGAACGUUGGUGAGAGUGGAAAGCUCAUCAAGUGACGGUAACUACCCAGAAAGGGACGGCUAAUUACGUG